GGGGGCCCAUUACCAAUUCUAACAGCAUAAGAGAGGUAGUGACAAGAAAUAACAAUACAAGGCAGUUAAAAUGCUUUGUAAUUGGAAUGAUAGAAAUUUAAACACUUUUUAAAGUAUCAAUUGGAGGGCAAGUCUGGUGCCAGCAGCCGCGGUAAUUCCAGCUCCAAUAGCGUAUAUUAAAAUUGUUGCAGUUAAAAAGCUCGUAGUUGAAUUUCUGCUAAAAAUAACCGGUCUGCUUUUAAUAAAGGUGGUAUCUUGGUGUGUUUUUAGCAAUAAUGUCCUUUGAAAUGUUUUUUACUUCAUUGUAAUAAAUUAUAUUUAGGAUUUUUACUUUGAGAAAAUUAGAGUGUUUCUAGCAGGCUAAUGCUUUGAAUACUGCAGCAUGGAAUAAUAAAAUAGGAUUUUGGUUCUACAUUAUUGGUUUUAAAAGCUAAA
rnacentral:rRNA from 1 species